GACGAACGCUGGCGGCGUGCUUAACACAUGCAAGUCGAACGGAAAGGCCUCUUUCGGGGGGUACUCGAGUGGCGAACGGGUGAGUAACACGUGAGUAACCUGCCCUUGACUUUGGGAUAACUUCAGGAAACUGGGGCUAAUACCGGAUAGGAGCUCCUGCUGCACGGGGGGGGUUGGAAAGUUUCGGCGGUUGGGGAUGGACUCGCGGCGUAUCAGCUUGUUGGUGGGGUAGUGGCGUACCAAGGCUUUGGCGGGUAGCCGGCCUGGGAGGGUGACCGGCCCCCUUGGGGCUGGGAUUCGGCCCAGACUCCUACGGGGGGCAGCAGUGGGGAAUAUUGCACCAUGGGUGGGAGCCUGAUGCAGCAACGCCGUGUGCGGGAUGACGGCCUUCGGGUUGGAAACCGCCUUCGCUCAUGACGAAGCUUUGUGUGACGGUAGUGGGUAAAGAAGCACCGGCUAACUACGUG
rnacentral:rRNA from 1 species